rnacentral:rRNA from 1 species
UACGGGGGGGGCAAGCGUUGUUCGGAAUUACUGGGCGUAAAGGGCUCGUAGGCGGCCAACUAAGUCGGACGUGAAAUCCCCAGGCUCAACCUGGGAACUGCGUCUGAUACUGGAUGGCUUGAAUCCGGGAGAGGGAUGCAGAAUUCCAGGUGUAGCGGUGAAAUGCGUAGAUAUCUGGAGGAAUACCGGUGGCGAAGGCGGGUCUCUGGGCCGAUACUGACGCUGAGGAGCGAAAGCGUGGGGAGCGAACAGG